UAAAAUACUGAAGUUUAUUUCUGGAAACAUAAGUAGUUACAUUUACAUUAUGUGUAGCAUGCUGUCUUUCCAAACGUCACCCAACUCCACACACCGAACUCAGAGCAGAGUCUCCUCGGAGAGUGGGGGCAUUGGCUUGAGGAAAAGGAUGGAAGCGUUUCAAUGUAUAUGUGAUAGAUAGAAAAAAGAGAUAACACUCAGAAUAGUUAACAACCUUUGCUCCAACAACACAGGCUCCACAACCCUCCCCAGGCCAGGGUGAACAGCCUUGUGUAUUUCAGAAAAUAAAGAAGUGUGGAAAAAUACUGUGUUUGGGAUUUAGGUGGUGAGUACCUAGAGGUUCUAUGUUGUUCUCUGUACUAUUCUGUGAGUUCUAACCAAGAAUAAAUAAAUAACAAAUUACUGUUAUGUAUUGACAGCAGGGGCUGUCACUGCUGGGGUCUCAGUGCCAGGGGUGUCAGUGCUGCGGACGUCAAUGUUGGGGUGUCAGUGCUGGGGACGUCAGUGUUGGGGUGUUAUGCAGGGCUGUCAGUGCUGGAGGUAUGAGUGCUGGGGGUCUCAGUGUUGGGGGUCUCAGUGUUGGGGGUGUCAGUGCUGGAGGUAUGAGUGCUGGGGGUCUCAGUGUUGGGGGUAUCAGUGCUGGGAGUGUCAGUGCAGGGCUGUCAGUGCUGGAGGUAUGAGUGCUGGGAGUCUC
ensembl:lncRNA novel transcript